rnacentral:rRNA from 1 species
UACGGAGGGGGCUAGCGUUGUUCGGAAUUACUGGGCGUAAAGCGCACGUAGGCGGCUUUGUAAGUUAGAGGUGAAAGCCCAGGGCUUAACCCUGGAAUUGCCUUUAAGACUGCAUCGCUAGAAUCGUGGAGAGGUGAGUGGAAUUCCGAGUGUAGAGGUGAAAUUCGUAGAUAUUCGGAAGAACACCAGUGGCGAAGGCGGCUCACUGGACCGGAACUGACGCUGAGGCGCGAAAGCGUGGGGAGCAAACAGG